rnacentral:rRNA from 1 species
CCUACGGGCGGCAGCAGUGGGGAAUAUUGCACAAUGGGGGAAACCCUGAUGCAGCGACGCCGCGUGAGUGAAGAAGUAAUUCGUUAUGUAAAGCUCUAUCAGCAGGGAAGAAAAUGACGGUACCUGAGUAAGAAGCCCCGGCUAACUACGUGCCAGCAGCCGCGGUAACACGUAGGGGGCAAGCGUUAUACGGAUUUACUGGGUGUAAAGGGAGCGUAGGUGGCAGUGCAAGUCUGGAGUUAAAGGGGGUGGCUCAACCCCAGGACUGCUUUGGAAACUGUACGGCUUGAGUGCGGGAGAGGUAUGUGGAAUUCCUAGUGUAGCGGUGAAAUGCGUAGAUAUUAGGAGGAACACCAGUGGCGAAGGCGGCUUACUGGACUGUAACUGACGUUGAGGCUCGAAAGCGUGGGGAGCAAACAGGAUUAGAUACCCUUGUAGUC